rnacentral:snRNA from 1 species
AGCUUGGCACAGUGGCAGUCUUGUAGCCAAUGAGGUUUAUCCGAGGUGCGAUUAUUGCUAAUUGAAAAUAACUUUUAAGGGCUGCUUGGGAGGCUCGGUCGGUUAAGCAUCGAACUCUUGAUUUCAGC